ACAUUUUGCUUUUAGAUUGAUUGAAGAACUCCCUUUAGCAUUUUUUGUAUGACAGGUCUGGUGGUGGUGAAUUCUCUUCCCUUUUGCUUAUCUGGGAACGACUUUAUCUCUCCUUCACAGGUGAAGAAUACCUUUGCUGGACACUAUUCUUGAAUGGUAGUUUUUUUCUUUCAGUACUUCUUUGAAAAUGUUAUCCUACUCCCUCCUGGCCUGUAUGAUUUCCAUUGAGAAGUUUAUUGCCAGAUGAAUUGGAAAUCCUUUAUAUGUUAUUUGCUUUUCUCUUGCUGCCUUUAGGAUCCUCUUUGUCCUUCACCUUUGGGAGUUUAUUAUAUGCCUUGGAGCAGUCUUAUUUGAGUCAAAUCUUAUUUUGUGUUCUCUGACCUUCCAGUACCUGGAUAUUUAUAUUUUUCUCAAGUUUGGGAAGUUUUAUGUUAUUAUUUCUUUGAUUAAACUUUCUACCCCUUCCCCUUGCUCGACUUUCUCUUAAACACCAAUAAUUUUUAGAUGUGGUCUUUUGAGUUAAUUUUAUAGGCAAUCAUCAUUCCUUUUCAUUCUUUUUUUUUCUUUUUUCUCCUCUUACUAUAUGUUUUCAAAUAGCCUGUCUUCUCUGCUAUUGAGAGCCUCUAAUGAAUUUUUCAGUUCACCAAAUAUUUUUCUAAGUUCCAAAAUUUUUGUUUUUCUAAAUUAUUUAGAUUUCUUUGUUAAAUUGCUCUGAUAAAUUUCUGAAAUUUGUUUUCCGUGUUAUCUUGGCGAUCACUGAGUUUCCUUAAAACUGGAGUUUAGGGUCAGUCACUGGUUUCUUGUUUUGUCCAUUUGGGGAGACCUUGGUUUCCUGUUUGCUGUUGUUUCUUGUGGAUGUAUGUCUAUGUCUUUACAUUGAAGGAUUAAUUAUUUAUUCCAGUCUUCUCUGGCUUGUUUUGAUUUUUAUUGGCUACAAUUGCUUAAAGGUUCUUUAUUGCUAUGGACUGUCUUCUUUUCAGCUCUAGGUGGCGUCUUUACGCCAGGUUCACCUCAGCUCUAGUAAAUGAUCAGAGCAUGCCCUUUCUGAGUGGCAGAGGUCCCUAAGGGGAUAUCUUGGCAGUGUAGGAAGGUUGGCUAGAGGUUCGUCCCCAUGAGACCUGUGGAACAAACCUUCUGCAGUGUGGUGCUGCUGAACAGUCACUCUGAUUUGGUGUCUUGUUUGGCUGAUUUACAAAGCAGUUCCCAGGGCAGGGGAUGGUAGUCUUCCCUCCCCACUGGUUCUGACUGUUCUCAGGGAUAUUUCUCCUUUCAGGCACUCACAGUGCUUCCUGUGGCUCUAAGGUAGGGAUGGGUCUCUUGCCAUGGAACCCAGGAUGAAGUUGGUUAUCCACCUCAACCUCAUUUUUUCCAGUGAGAAACUGAGUUGGGGGAAAUUUUUUCUUGCGCUUGAUGCCAGUCAGAAUGAGGGGAGAGACGUCACAAAUGUGGAAGUGUGUCCAGAAUUGGUGGGUUCUUGGACUCGCUGACUUCAAGAACGAAGCCGCGGAUCCUCGCGGUGAGUGUUGCAGUUCUUAAAGAUGGUGUGUCCGGAGUUUGUUCCUUCAGAUGUUCAGAUGGGUCCGGAGUUUCUUCCUUCUGGUGGGUUCGUGGUCUUGCUGACAUCAGGAGUGAAGCUGCAUACCUUUGUGCUAGACACAAAAGUUCUCCAAGUCCCCACCCAUCCCAGAAGCCCAGCCAGCUUCACCUUUCACUGGCACUGGCUUGACUUUGCCGCACCUAUCCUGGACACUCCGGCAACCCAGAGGGAGCUCGUCCCAGACAACCAAGAGGAAAAGGGGAAGCCAGAAAGAGACAGAGACCCGCCAUCGUGGCCAACAACUCGGUGAAGAGGGAACGGCGAUCCAAGCAGGGGACCCAGCCUCUGAUCAAGCCCAGCAGGCACCAGCCUGCUGCCCGGAGUGCAGGGCCCUCCGAGCCCGUGCCCACCCAGAACCCAUGCCGGACUGCGAGCACCGCGCAGCCCCAGCUCCCUUCUGCACCUCUCCCUCCACACCUCCCUGGAGCAGAGGGAGCCGGCUCCAGCCUCCGCCAGCCCCAGAAAGGGGACCCCACAGCGCAGCGGUGGGCUGAAGGGCUCCUCAAGCACGGCCAGAGCGGACGCCGAGGCCGAGGAGGCCCCGAGAGCUAGCAAGGGCUGCUAGCACAUUGUCACCUCUCAGAAGUCCAAUUCUCUUACCAUCUGCUUAGAGUUUUUCACUUCUUUGUGGCCCUGGGAACUCUUUUUCAUAUAUGAGUUCUGGAAUAUUUCUGGUGAUAAUCUUGACAUUGUACAUUUGGUUUUGGUUUAUUGUGGAGGGAGUGAAGUCAGCAUGCUUCUAUGCUGCCAUUUUGGAACUGGAAGUCCCCCUGACCCACAGAAACAGAGAUAAUAAAUGUGUAUUCCUUCAGGCUA